rnacentral:rRNA from 1 species
AGAAUCAACGCUGGCGGCGUGCCUAACACAUGCAAGUCGCACGAGAAAGGGGCUUCGGCCCUGAGUAAAGUGGCGCACGGGUGAGUAACACGUGAAUCAUCUACCUUCGAGUGGGGAAUAACUGAGAGAAAUCUUAGCUAAUACCGCAUAAUACCUACGGGUCAAAGUAGCAAUGCGCUUGAAGAGGAGUUCGCGGCAGAUUAGUUAGUUGGCGGGGUAAUGGCCCACCAAGACGAUGAUCUGUA